rnacentral:rRNA from 1 species
GGCGAAUGGGUGCGUAACACGUAGAUACCUGCCUACCAGUGGGGAAUAACGCCGCGAAAGCGGUGCUAAUACCGCAUGUGACCGCCUACGGGCGGGGAAAGCUGGGCAACCGGCGCUGGCAGAGGGGUCUGCGGCCCAUCAGCUAGAUGGUGAGGUAAUGGCUCACCAUGGCGACGACGGGUAGGGGGCCUGAGAGGGUGGUCCCCCACACUGGCACUGACACACGGGCCAGACUCCUACGGGAGGCAGCAGUGAGGAAUAUUGCCCAAUGGACGCAAGUCUGAGGCAGCAACGCCGCGUGGAGGACGAAGGCUUUCGGGUCGUAAACUCCUUUUGCACGGGAAGAGCAAGGACGGUACCGUGCGAAUCAGUCACGGCUAACUACGUGCCAGCAGCCGCGGUAAAACGUAGGUGGCAAGCGUUAUCCGGAUUUACUGGGCGUAAAGCGCUCGCAGGCGGCCUGACAGGUCGGUUGUGAAAUCUCCUGGCUCAACUGGGAGGGUGCGACCGAAACCGUGAGGCUUGAGGACCGGAGAGGGACAUGGAAUUCCUGGCGUAGUGGUAAAAUGCGUUGAACUCAGGAGGAACACCCGUGGCGAAAGCGGUGUCCUGGCCGGUGCCUGACGCUGAGGAGCGAAAGCGUGGGGAGCGAACGGGAUUAGAUACCCCGGUAGUCC